AUGAUAUCUAAUGUUGUACGUCGAGCUAUGAGAGUGGAGAAGAAGAACAUGUGUAAUCAUUGGUCCCAAAAUUUCCAAUACUGUACCACUACUCCUUCAUGGCAGCAACCACACCCUUCAUCCUCGAUGGUGCCUUCACCAACAAUUCAUAUUCAAGAUAGAAGAAUCGUGGUUUCAGGUAGAGCUUAUUCUCCUCCACCCAUGACUUCUAUGGAGAACAAAAUCUUUCCAAACCCAUGUGUGAGAGAGAAUCCAUAUCACAAAAUUCCACAACUUGGGAGUGAUAAGAAAAGUGAUUUGAGUGAUCCCACCAAAUGCAAGGAAGAGUGUCCACUUCCAAAAAUUUCACAUAUUUAG
rnacentral:rRNA from 1 species